rnacentral:rRNA from 1 species
UCCUUCGGGAGCGAGUAAAGUGGCGGACGGGUGAGUAACGCGUAGGAAUCUACCUUUCAGUGGGGGAUAGCUCGGGGAAACUCGAAUUAAUACCGCAUAUACCCUUCGGGGGAAAGGGGGCCUCUCCUUGGAAGCUCUCGCUGUUAGAUGAGCCUGCGUGAGAUUAGCUUGUUGGUAAGGUAAUGGCUUACCAAGGCUACGAUCUCUAGCUGGUCUGAGAGGACGAUCAGCCACACUGGGACUGAGACACGGCCCAGACUCCUACGGGAGGCAGCAGUAGGGAAUAUUGGACAAUGGGGGAAACCCUGAUCCAGGCAUGCCGCGUGUGUGAAGAAGGCCUUAGGGUUGUAAAGCACUUUAAGUGAGGAAGAAAAGAUUUAAAUUAAUACUUUGGAUCCCUGACAUUACUCACAGAAUAAGGACCGGCUAACUCCGUGCCAGCAGCCGCGGUAAUACGGAGGGUCCAAGCGUUAAUCGGAAUUACUGGGCGUAAAGCGCGCGUAGAUGGUCUAUUCAGUUGGGUGUGAAAUCCCUGGGCUCAACCUAGGAACUGCAUCCAAAACUUAUAGACUAGAGUACGAAAGAGGAGAGUAGAAUUCAUGGUGUAGCGGUGAAAUGCGUAGAUAUCAUGAGGAAUACCAGUGGCGAA